GGAGAGUUGGCUCAGUGGUCAAGAGCACUUGUUUCUUCUGCAGAGGACCCAGGUUCAAUUCCCAGUAUCUCCA
rnacentral:tRNA from 1 species